UGCAAUCGCGCUAUAAUGCAGUCGAACGCACAGCGAAAGGUGCUUGCACCUUUCAAGUGAGUGGCGAACGGGUGAGUAACACGUGGACAACCUGCCUCAAGGCUGGGGAUAACAUUUGGAAACAGAUGCUAAUACCGAAUUAAUCUUAGUGUCGCAUGACACAAAGUUAAAAGGCGCUUCGGCGUCACCUAGAGAUGGAUCCGCGGUGCAUUAGUUAGUUGGUGGGGUAAAGGCCUACCAAGACAAUGAUGCAUAGCCGAGUUGAGAGACUGAUCGGCCACAUUGGGACUGAGACACGGCCCAAACUCCUACGGGAGGCUGCAGUAGGGAAUCUUCCACAAUGGGCGAAAGCCUGAUGGAGCAACGGCGCGUGUGUGAUGAAGGCUUUCGGGUCGUAAAGCACUGUUGUAUGGGAAGAACAGCUAGAAUAGGAAAUGAUUUUAGUUUGACGGUACCAUACCAGAAAGGGACGGCUAAAUACGUGCCAGCAGCCGCGGUAAUACGUAUGUCCCGAGCGUUAUCCGGAUUUUUUGGGCGUAAAGCGAGCGCAGACGGUUUAUUAAGUCUGAUGUGAAAGCCCGGAGCUCAGCUCCGGAAUGGCAUUGGAAACUGGUUAACUUGAGUGCAGUAGAGGUAAGUGGAACUCCAUGUGUAGCGGUGGAAUGCGUACAUAUAUGGAAGAACACCAGUGGCGAAGGCGGCUUACUGGAGUGCGACUGACGUUGAACUG
rnacentral:rRNA from 1 species